rnacentral:rRNA from 1 species
UUUUCCGGAGUGUAAANAGCUCCGGGAAUAAGGGCUGGGCAAGUCCGGUGCCAGCAGCCGCGGUAAUACCGGCGGCCCAAGUGGUGGCCNCUAUUAUUGGGCCUAAAGCGUCCGUAGCCGGCCCAGUAAGUCUCUGCNUAAAUCCUGCGGCUCAACCGCAGGNCUGGCAGAGAUACUGCNGGNCUUGGGACCGGGAGAGGCCGGGGGUACCCCAGGGGUAGNGGUGAAAU